rnacentral:rRNA from 1 species
UAGAUACCCUGGUAGUCCACGCUGUAAACGAUGAGUGCUAGGUGUUAGACCCUUUCCGGGGUUUAGUGGGGCCGUAGCUAACGCAUUAAGCACUCCGCCUGGGGAGUACGACCGCAAGGUUGAAACUCAAAGGAAUUGACGGGGGCCCGCACAAGCGGUGGAGCAUGUGGUUUAAUUCGAAGCAACGCGAAGAACCUUACCAGGUCUGACAUCCCUCUGACCGCUCUAGAGAUAGAGUUUUCCUUCGGGA